ACCAGCGAUACAGCGCAUUAAAAGACGGAUUUUAGAUGACUUCAAGACACAUAUACAGAAAGCUGUUAGAAUUAACAGGGAACUUGAACUCAAAGCUCCCAAUGCUGAUCUUGAAGAAUCUGCCAAGGAGGCUGAACAAGUCCUUCAAAGGUUCAACCCUUCACAGCUGAAAUGGAAGACCAAAGGAAGGACUGUCAUGGGAUUUGAAUUUGGCCAUACUGUGCGUUUACAGAGAAGACCAAAAGUUGCAAAGGCAAACACUUCCAACGCUGAAGACCAAAAACGCAAAGAAAAUCAGUCACAGCAAGCCGGUCAAACCAGUCCUUAUGAAUGAGGAAUGAACAUGGCCUUCUUGUACCCAAACAGAAAGACAGAGAGCUGAAAAGUUGCACAUUUCCAUUGCUCCUAGCAAAUCAGCUGUGCAUCAUCUCUGGAAUUUGGGCAGGAAAUUACUGAAUAUGAUGAGUACUGACACCUGCACCUGUAUUCACCAACACUGUUUCUCUAGAGUUAAUAUUGACUUAUUGUUUUGUCUGUUUGUUUGAAGGAGGAUGUAGCCAGUUGAUGAAGAUAUCAAUUCAAUGGCCACUAAGUGCAGCACUGCUGCCUGAACCCAUCAGUUAUCUGCUGUGAAGACUGCAUUCGCAAACAGCUCUACUGCAACAUGCUCGGAUGUUAAGGCCCAUAAAAGUAAACUUCACAACUGAACAACUGCAAGAUAGUUGUGGAGGGAUUCUUUUGGCCCAUACCUCCAACAACCUCCAACAAGAAUCAAUGGACAUCUACAUCAGGUGAUGUGUGAGGAGGACCGUCAGAGACUCCAGCCACCCGAGCUAUGGAUUGCUCUCACUGUUACCAUCAGGCAGAUGUUAUCGCAGAACCUUCACAGAGCCGAGACAAGUUCUUUCCACAGGCAAUCAGACUGAACUGAACUCGUACCAGUAACACCACACACACCCCACCAGCCUCAUAUGCACUGCACACUAUCACUUACACUUACUGGACUCUGACUCACUAUUAUUCUGCACCCUGACAUUCUGUUUGCACUAAUUCAUACCGUGCUGCACUGCAAAGGUAUAUGUGUACUGUGAUUAAUGUGUUUAUUAUUGUUUUCAUUUCACACUCUCUGUAUAGUAUAAUAUUUACCAUAUGUUGUUCUCUACCUGUAUUGAGUCCCUUAUACAUGUGUGUUGCAUAUAUAUUCAAUACUUUUCAUCCAUAAUGUCAUGCUGCAGUUUGCACAAAAGACUUUCACCACCUGUACACUUGCGUUCAUGAUAUUGUGACAAUAAAGUGACUUGUUUUGAA